rnacentral:rRNA from 1 species
UACGGGGGGGGCAAGCGUUGUUCGGCAUUACUGGGCGUAAAGCGCGCGCAGGCGGCUAUCCAAGUCAGUGGUGAAAGCCCGGAGCUCAACUCCGGAACUGCCAUUGAAACUGUUUAGCUUGAGGACGAGAGAGGUGAGUGGAAUUCCCAGUGUAGAGGUGAAAUUCGUAGAUAUUGGGAAGAACACCGGUGGCGAAGGCGGCUCACUGGCUCGUAUCUGACGCUCAGGCGCGACAGCGUGGGGAUCAAACAGG